UACGUAGGGGGCUAGCGUUGUCCGGAAUCAUUGGGCGUAAAGCGCGUGUAGGCGGCCCGGUAAGUCCGCUGUGAAAGUCCAGGGCUCAACCCUGGGAUGCCGGUGGAUACUGUCGGGCUCGAGUCCGGAAGAGGCGAGUGGAAUUCCUGGUGUAGCGGUGAAAUGCGCAGAUAUCAGGAGGAACACCAAUGGCGAAGGCAGCUCGCUGGGACGUGACUGACGCUGAGACGCGAAAGCAUGGGGAGCGAACAGG
rnacentral:rRNA from 1 species